UGUAAACAUUUUAUUGAGCAAUACAAAUGCUUUCCAGUUUCUGAAUCCAGCAACAGAUUUGAGUGUGAGGCUGACUUAGGGCUAAGAGAGUGCGAAUUUCGCGUCUAAGGCUGCACGACACAACGUGGGACAAAACCGGGUCGUGACACUAGUAAGCAUUUCUUUGAUCCAAUAGGAUCUGAAAAUCCUAAAAUUAUAAUUUUACUCUUUAUGCCUUUCCUAAUGUUGUCAGCUAUUUUGAGUUGGAAAAUACUAUCUAUUUUGCUAUUUGAUUUGUCAUUAAUCAUGAAAUUAUCAAAAUACACUAGAAAUACAUAAAAUACUCAAAUUAUAACAAAACAUACAUAAUUUAAAGGGCUUGAACACAUAACAAUAGAAAUGUUAGUGAGACUUGGAGCACAAAAUAAUAAUUUUACCCUUUAUAAAUAUGUAUUCUCCACUACUUAACAACAUUAGAAAAAGAAUACUUGAAGAGCAUUGUUGAUAUGGUUUUGUCCAAAGACUUUCAGGUAUGUUUAAAGUUCUAAAAGUUGGAUAAAAUUAUUGAGUACUUGUAAACCAUUUUGAUCAAUAUCCGCUUUUUGCAAGAACCAUGGAGACUUAUCUAGUGUGUAGAUAUUUUCUAUGUACUUAAUGUGGGUAGGUGGUAGGUGGUAGUUGUGCAAUAACUUACUCCUUUGUACUCUAUAUAUAGGAAAGGGUCUCAUUUGGCCAAGACAUCACAAGCAAUAUACAAGUCCAGCGCACAUAGCCUUGUAAACAUUUUAUUGAGCAAUACAAAUGCGUUCCAGUUUCUGAAUCCAGCAACAGAUUUGAGUGUGAGGCUGACUUAGGGCUAAGAGAGUGCGAAUUUGGCGUCUAAGGCUGCACGACACAACGUGGGACAAAACCGGGCCGUGACACUAGUAAGCAUUUCUUUGAUCCAAUAGGAUCUGAAAAUCCUAAAAUUAUAAUUUUACUCUUUAUGCCUUUCCUAAUGUUGUCAGCUAUUUUGAGUUGGAAAAUACUAUCUAUUUUGCUAUUUGAUUUGUCAUUAAUCAUGAAAUUAUCAAAAUACACUAGAAAUACAUAAAAUACUCAAAUUAUAACAAAACAUACAUAAUUUAAAGGACUUGAACACGUAACAAUAGAAAUGUUAGUGAGACUUGGAGCACAAAAUAAUAAUUUUACCCUUUAUAAAUAUGUAUUCUCCACUACUUAACAACAUUAGAAAAAGAAUACUUGAAGAGCAUUGUUGAUAUGGUUUUGUCCAAAGACUUUCAGGUAUGUUUAAAGUUCUAAAAGUUGGAUAAAAUUAUUGAGUACUUGUAAACCAUUUUGAUCAAUAUCCGCUUUUUGCAAGAACCAUGGAGACUUAUCUAGUGUGUAGAUAUUUUCUAUGUACUUAAUGUGGGUAGGUGGUAGGUGGUAGUUGUGCAAUAACUUACUCCUUUGUACUCUAUAUAUAGGAAAGGGUCUCAUUUGGCCAAGACAUCACAAGCAAUAUACAAGUCCAGCGCACAUAGCCUUGUAAACAUUUUAUUGAGCAAUACAAAUGCUUUCCAGUUUCUGAAUCCAACAACAGAUUUGAGUGUGAGGCUGACUUAGGGCUAAGAGAGUGCGAAUUUCACGUCUAAGGCUGCACGAUACAACGUGGGACAAAACCGGGUCGUGACACUAGUAAGCAUUUCUUUGAUCCAAUAGGAUCUGAAAAUCCUAAAAUUAUAAUUUUACUCUUUAUGCCUUUCCUAAUGUUGUCAGCUAUUUUGAGUUGGAAAAUACUAUCUAUUUUGCUAUUUGAUUUGUCAUUAAUCAUGAAAUUAUCAAAAUACACUAGAAAUACAUAAAAUACUCAAAUUAUAACAAAACAUACAUAAUUUAAAGGACUUGAACACAUAACAAUAGAAAUGUUAGUGAGACUUGGAGCACAAAAUUAUAAUUUUACCCUUUAUAAAUAUGUAUUCUCCACUACUUAACAACAUUAGAAAAAGAAUACUUGAAGAGCAUUGUUGAUAUGGUUUUGUCCAAAGA
rnacentral:lncRNA from 1 species